UGUUUUAAUUUUGCCUGCAGACGAAUUUUGGUGACAUUGAGUUUGGCUUCUUUCCUCAUGUUGCACCUAAGACUGUCGAACACAUUUUCAAACUUGUGCGGCUUGGAUGCUACAACACAAAUCACUUCUUCCGGGUUGACAAGGGUUUCGUUGCACAAGUUGCUGAUGUUAUGUCAGGUUGAACCGCCCCUAUGAAUGAGGAGCAGAAAAAAGAAGCGGAGAAAACAAUUGUUGGUGAAUUUAGUAGUGUCAAGCAUGUCAGGGGAAUCCUCUCCAUGGGAAGGCACUCUGAUCCAGACAGUGCUGGCUCUUCCUUUUCUAUUCUUCUGGGCAAUUCACCGCAUCUUGAUGGCCAGUAUGCUGUAUUUGGGAGGGUCACUAAAGGUGACGAUACAUUGACUAAACUAGAGAGGCUUCCAACCCGGAGAGAAGGCAUUUUUGUAAUGCCGAUCGAGCGUAUCAACAUCCUAUCAACUUACUAUUAUGAUAUUGAUCUAGAGAGCUGUGAAGCAGAAAAAUCUAUUCUCCGGAGGAGACUUUCUGAAUCAGCAUCAGAAGUUGAGCGAUGGAGAAGAAAAUGCUUUGCUUAAUGGUGGAAUAAGGUGAAUUACUUGCUUAUUGCUUUCAAUAUUUGUAUAAAAUUUUCAGGGCAGCAACUUGCUAUAUGCAUUACAAAAGUAAGGCUG